AGCUCAGUUGGUAGAGCAGAGACUGAAAA
rnacentral:tRNA from 1 species